AGGUAGUGUCUGGGACCAACCACCAUUGGAUAAAUGUAAUCCAGGUAGAGUCUCGAAAUGUUGUGCAGCUAAUGGAGUAACGAGGACGGAGUGCGGGCUGUCACCCGGGCUAUCAUACGGAUCUGAUCUAGACUACGAAGUGUGUAAUCACUGCCAUAAAUUGGAGAAAAGAGACAAUCACAUGUGUGGAAAACACUGUUACAAUUAUCAAGAAUGUAAUAUGAGUUCAAACUGUGGAAACACAAUGGGAGGAAGUUAUUGGCGAGGUAAUCCAUAUAAUCCAUUCCCAUACCAGUUAGUGUGUAGGUUUUGCGAAUGUAUUGCUAGUCGUGGUUGUUGUUCAAAUUAUUGUGGUGGAAGAUGACCCUUAACUGAGCAAAAGAGUCUAUCAAAUGUAUCAACUUUCUUCACUUUCUAGUUAUUUUAGCUCAAUUAAAAUUUUGCUUUCUUUUAGAUAAUAUUUAUUUAAUAAAAGCUUGCAUUUUGAGCAAUAUACAUGUAUAUCAUAGAAUAAAACUUUUUUUUAGUUUUUUUUAAGAAUGUAUCGAUGUGUAGAAUCAUGCCUUUAUCUAUCGUUAAAUAGAACUCUGAAUGACAUUUUUAAUUCCAAUCCUUUAGCCAUUAUUUACACACUGAUUUGUCUACGGACUUUUUUCGUUCACUUGAUCUUAAUUUCAAGGUGAAAACUGAAAAUUUAGGAUAUUUACUUAUCUGUCAGUAACUUGUAUAAGUGAAUAAAUUGAUUAAAGUAUUCUCAAUAUUGAAUGAAUUAGGAUAUCUAAAAACCAUAUGUAUGAAAGCGCGCAAAAUUUUAUUGAUCCGUAUAUGUCAUUGAUGGAAGAGACCGUAAACAGUUGACCUUUAAAAUUCAUAUGAAAUCUCUCAUCAAAAUGGCUUUAUUAAAAGAAUAUCUUACUAUUCUACAGCAAAUCGUUUAAAUGGAUUUUGAGCUUGAUUGCUGUUGGGUACGAAUCUCCAUAAAAAGUUGAUUUUACAAGUUUAUAAUCAGGACCCAGUAAAAUAAGAUGCUAAUUUCGUUACGUCAGUGGACCGGGGAAAGCGUUUAUACUUAUCAAUUUUGAAUGAAGUUCAACUAAAAAUGUAAGAUGUUUAAUGCGUUGAUAUUU